GAUGAACGCUGGCGGCGUGCCUAAUACAUGCAAGUCGAGCGAACAGACGAGGAGCUUGCUCCUUUGACGUUAGCGGCGGACGGGUGAGUAACACGUGGAGAACCUACCUAUAAGACUGGGAUAACUUCGGGAAACCGGAGCUAAUACCGGAUAACAUGUUGAACCGCAUGGUUCAACAGUGAAAGACGGUCUUGCUGUCACUUAUAGAUGGAUCCGCGCCGCAUUAGCUAGUUGGUAAGGUAACGGCUUACCAAGGCAACGAUGCGUAGCCGACCUGAGAGGGUGAUCGGCCACACUGGAACUGAGACGCGGUCCAGACUCCUACGGGAGGCAGCAGUAGGGAAUCUUCCGCAAUGGGCGAAAGCCUGAAGGAGCAACGCCGCGUGAGUGAAGAAGGUCUUCGGAUCGUAAAACUCUGUUAUUAGGGAAGAACAAAUGUGUAAGUAACUAUGCACGUCUUGACGGUACCUAAUCAGAAAGCCACGGCUAACUACGUG
rnacentral:rRNA from 1 species